CAGGGAGACAACAAAAUGUUUAAUAUUAUUAUUUUGUCACCUUAGGUCGAUCGGUAUCUCACGUUCUUAAUUUGUUAAGAAUUUCAUUUCCUAAGUUUUUCUAGGUCACACCCAUUAUUUUUCCUGGGCCAUUAGCUCAGGUGGUUAGAGCGCACCCCUGAUAAGGGUGAGGUCCCUGGUUCAAGUCCAGGAUGGCCCAUAUCUCUAUGUUGGGGGUAUAGCUCAGUUGGUAGAGCGCCUGCUUUGCAAGCAGGAUGUCAGCGGUUCGAGUCCGCUUACCUCCACUGAUUACCACCUCUUCAUAGCUGGUAGAAAGGAAAUGUUUUGAAUUGUGAUCCUUAUUCUGAACGAAUCUAGCUUCCUAAUGAAAUCAUUAAGAUGCUGGACUCAUUGAAUUAAUUUCAUUGUUUUCAGAGAACCUUAACAACUGCAUAGAUUAUUUUAAAGACAAUAAGCAUCUUUAAUGAUGCAGAUUUAUUAUUUGUGCGAAUGCAUUAAUAACAAUUCUAUUAAGCUGAUGCUUCAAUUUUUGAAGUUAUU
rnacentral:tRNA from 1 species